rnacentral:lncRNA from 1 species
AUACAUUUCCUGGCAACAAGACGAAAGUUAGUCUACUGAGAAGUUUAUGCAGAGGGAAUAUUUCUUGUAUAUACAGUUGUGUCUUGUUCUCAGAUGCCCAUACCAAAGCAAUUACUGCAUGGGAGAUGCCGACUGGCUGGAAGAACCUGUUCAUUCUGGGCCUGGAAUGGAGUCUGUGAGGAGCUCAGCUUCCUGGGGUGGAAGGAGGAGAACUUCCUUGUCAGCAACUGAGAAGAUCCUGAAGAGUUCCAAGUUGAGGAGGUGCCCUGCAGGAGUGAUGCAGAGACACAGAAAAGAUUUCUCACCACUUGAUCUCAGCAUGUGGCUCUCAUCUGGUGCUGUGCUCUCUCUGCUCCUUUGCCUGGGACAGUGUCAGAGCAAGUGGGGGUUUCAAAAUUCAUCUGUAGCGGGGAGAGCAGGAGGAAUCCUGUUUUCCUCACUGCCCAGACUAAAGAAAUUGCUCCAACCACACCUUUCCUUCUGGAUCUUCCUUCCAAGGAGAGCUUCUUCACAAGCAAGAGAAGCAGAGGCUUGCACAGCUCUUCCACAGUCAUGCCCUGCUCUUUCACUGCCCAUCAACUGCACGGUGUUGUCUCCUCCCACGUUGCAGGCUUGUUUUACACCUGGAAGAGUCAUCCCAAAUGCAGGCUCAGUAGUCAGGUGCAGCCCUGAAAUGAGAGAGGGGAACAGCAAAGAGAUAAGAGAGGCAGAAGAAGGCACCAGCCACCAGCCCAGGAUGUCCCAGGGGUUCCACAAGCAGGUACCACCCCUGUGUGUCUUUGUGAAACGAGCCAGGACAGGAUUUUCCUCACUGAUUCUGGCUGGCUCAAGCAGUGGCUCUCUUCUCCCUGAGUCCUGAAGUGUGAGGUGCUCACCCUGGCAAGGAAUUCAUCACUCUGUGCUGAGCUCACUGGAGCUUGUCACGCAGAGAGACGCAGCCCCACGCUCUUCCUCGCCUCCUUAACACAGAGGCUCCGUGGCAAAAAAUCCCUGACAACCUUCUUUAUGUCUUUUGGAGCACUUACACUUGUAUUGUUCAACUCUGAAUAGAGAGUUUUUAAAAUUAGUUUGUUCUCCAGACCAAUUAGAGACUUUUAUGACCUCGCCAGCCAGCCAUGGAUCAAGGGUGGGAAGUGCUAUUUUGGCAAAAAAUAUUCCAGUUUCUCUUAUUUUCUCACUGUUGGUUUGGUUUGUUGGGUUUUUUUAAUAUAAUAUAAACAUUCAGGUAAAGAACUACAUGUAUAAAGGAGGUGAGGUUUAGUGAAGAAGCAAACAGAUUUAUUUUUUUUUGCUUAUGUGGAAGGGGAGAAAAAAUAAGACAGCUGC